GACGAACGCUGGCGGCGUGCUUAACACAUGCAAGUCGAACGGAAAGGCCCUGCUUUUGUGGGGUGCUCGAGUGGCGAACGGGUGAGUAACACGUGAGUAACCUGCCCUUGACUUUGGGAUAACUUCAGGAAACUGGGGCUAAUACCGGAUAGGAGCUCCUGCUGCAUGGUGGGGGUUGGAAAGUUUCGGCGGUUGGGGAUGGACUCGCGGCUUAUCAGCUUGUUUGUGGGGUAGUGGCUUACCAAGGCUUUGACGGGUAGCCGGCCUGAGAGGGUGACCGGCCACAAUGGGACUGAGAUACGGCCCAGACUCCUACGGGAGGCAGCAGUGGGGAAUAUUGCACAAUGGGCGGAAGCCUGAUGCAGCAACGCCGCGUGCGGGAUGACGGCCUUCGGGUUGUAAACCGCUUUCGCCUGUGACGAAGCGUGAGUGACGGUAAUGGGUAAAGAAGCACCGGCUAACUACGUG
rnacentral:rRNA from 1 species